rnacentral:lncRNA from 1 species
CAAGCAGCAGGAUCUGGUGAUCCACUGGACGUGGUGGGGGGUGGCAGGGAGAAGAUCUACUGCAAGAGAGGAAGGGUCACAGCUGGCUCCUAGGAUUCUGGCUAGGGUUUCUGGGUGGGUGGUGGUGGUAAUCAACUGAGAUAGAGAAUGUAGGAGCGGGAGCAGGUUUUUGAAGAAAGACACUGAGCUCAGUUUCUCUUUGAAGUGUUGGUGCUUUGUCACUUAGUAUCUGGCAUAUGGGAUUGAAGCUUAGGAAAACGGUUCUUGCUGGAGAUAUAAAUUUGAACUCAUCAGCUAUGGGUGGCAAUUGAAGCCAUAUGCAUCAGAGUACUUUGGACCGCAAGUAAUUGCAGAAAUACAACCCAAAAAACAGAAGAGAUUUAUCAGCUCAGAAAAAUUAAAGGGCACCAGAGGUAAGGUGGUGGUCAGUCUUAUUUCACUUGGGGCUCCAGCCUUGCUUUUCUGAUGUCCUCUGGCCUCUGCAUGCCUUCUCUGUGUUGCCUUCUCCUCUGACUGGGGGCUGAUGGUUCCAUUAGCUCCACGCCUCAUCAAUGGGUGCAUUCAACAAUGCCCCCCAGAAAAGAGACCAUAUUUUGAAAUGUCUCUCUUAAAAGAACAAUGCACAGAAGCCUUUUCCAGGACACUGACCAUGGGUCCCAUGCCCAUUUCUGAAUCAAUUUACUGGGUCAACAGAUCACUGCGGUUCCUGAACCUGUCACUGGCAAAGAAGACAAAUUAGCCUAAGACCAGGCCCACCUCCCAAGCUCUGGGUGGGCCCACUGUUCUAGGCACAUGAGGGAGAGAUGGACGGUUGAAUGAGAACUGACAUUCUGUCAGGAAAAGGAAAAAGAUAGCUAACUCACAAGGCACACCAUACUGUGGAAGUGGAUGAGCUUCCCAAAGACACCGUGAAGCAUGAGAAGAAAAGAAGGGCUAGGACUGAAUCCAGAAAAGAGUCAAGCUUCAGGGGUGUUUGAAAAAAGAUUCUUGGGUCAUUUGGAAAAUGCACCUUAACUUUUGUUUGACUCUCUGGUUAUAUCAAGCAGGGUUAUUUUGCAUGCUACAGAGUGGGUUGAGAAAAUCAACACAGGGGCUGGGUGAGGUGGCUCACGUCCAUAAUUCUAGCACUUUGGGAGGUUGAAGCAGGAGGAUUGCUUGAGCCCAGGAGUUGGAGACCAGCCUGGGCAACAUAGGAAGACUGCUUUUCUACAGAAAAUUUAAAAAAUUAGCUGGUUGUGGUGGUGCAUGCCUGUGGUCUCAUCUACUUGGGAAGCUGAGGUGGGAGGAUUCCUUGAGCCCAGGAGUUUGAGGCUUCAGUGAGCCACUGCACUCUAGCAUGGGUGACAAAGCAAGAUCCUGUCUCAGAAAAAAAAAAAAAGAAAAAGAAAAAGGAAAAGAAAGAAAA